rnacentral:lncRNA from 1 species
GCCUGCGCAAACCAGCUGCCUCACCAGCCCUGGAGCUCGCACCACGUGGCCUCACCUCACGUGUGCUGUCCCCCUGGCCACGUCUGUCUUUGUCUCACCUGACGUGCUGUGCCUCUCCUGCCAGGGCUCUGUCCUGUCUGCCGCCACUACCGCCGCAUGGCCCUGCUCGGCCUGCAGCCCGCUCGCCGCUUCGCUCCCUCAGAGACCCCGCGCCAGCGGUCCGUAUUGGCCACGGUCAUAUUUCUCUGCUUCUUUGCACGCCUGAUAAUUUUUAACUUGAUAUCUACAUUGUGAAUUUCACCUUGGCCUCCAGCACAAGACAGGGUUUUCCCUGUCUCCCCACUCCUCUGUUGCCAAUCCUGCUUGCAUGUGCUUAAUGAGAAAAAGAGGAAAAAAGACUGAAAGCAGUUUUGAAUUCUCCAUGUCUGGUGCUACAACCGGUUCUGUAAUCCCCUCAAACCAGGCCUUUGGCCAUUUGCUAAAAUUUGUAACAAAAUUAUGGUUUACAAGAGGUCUGGUCUCUCUCUUAGAAAAGCAAUUGUGUAACUGGGUUUUCUUACUGCCUGCUGCACAAAAAAAAGUCAGUUCAGGAAACUGCAGUAAAGAGAGUUUAAUUGAUAAAAGGCCACCCAUGCCAUGCCAGAGAUGGAGUUAUUACUCAAAUCAAGUAUCAUCAAGGGCUCAUAAGUUAGGAGUUUUUCAAAGGUAGUUUGCGGGAAGUAGUAGUGUGGCAACAGUGGGUGCUUGCUGUUGACCAAUUGGGCUGGAGAUAAAAUCAUAGGCAGUGGAAGCUGUUCUCUUGUGCUGAGUCACUUUGGGGUGGGUACAGGAGCCAUGGGCUGGUGGGUCCAUGUGGAGCCAUGGGUGUCAGAAGUGCAAAAAACCUGAAAAUGAUUCGGAAGGGGGGAAUGGCAUGGUCCCUGGCUAGGGCUCCACCCCCGGCCCUGUGCUCACGGACCUAGGUGAGGACAGGCAUUUUUGUUUUCCUGCCCAAAUGUUGCAUUUCUGUCCUGGCCUGCCAUGCCCCCAUCCUGUGCAUAUGAAAACCUCAGGACCCUAACAGGUAGGCACACAGGUGGCUGGACAUCGAGAGGAGCACAUCAGUGGAGGAACACACGGGUUGCUGGACAUGGAGAGGAAUGCACCAACAGGCACCGGCAGCGGGGAGGCCACUGACCGGCAGAACAACGCAGAGUUUGGCUGGGGCAAUUGGAGGAGAGCCUGGAACACUGAGUGGCCCAACUCCAGGGGAAAACCAGUCUCCCUUCUGGCUUCCUCAUCUACUGAGAGCUACUUCUACUCAAUAAAACCUUGCACUCAUUCUCCAAGCCCACGUGUGAUCCGAUUCUUCCAGUACACCAAGGCGAGAACCCCAGGAUACAGAAAGCCCCCUGUCCUUGUGAUAAGUCAGGGGUCUAAUUGAGCUGACUAACACAAGCCGCCUAUGGACAGCUAAACGAAAACAGCACUCUGUAACACAUGCCCACGGGGGCUUCAGCUGUAAACAUUCACCCGCUAAACACUGCAGUGGGGUCAGAGCCCCACAGCCUGCCCAUCUGUAUGCUCCCCUAGAGGUUUGAGCAGCAGGGCACUGAAGAAGCGAGUCACACCCCCAUUGCACAGCCUGCUAGGGGGACAAGGGAACUUUUCCCAUUUCAGAAAGAUAUCUCAAAAGGCCAACCUUAGGUUCUAUAACAGUGAUGUUAUCUGCAGAAGUAAUUGGGGAAGUUGCAUGUCUUGUGACCUUCAAAAUAAAUGGCUGGCAAUCUUUUAUGUCUAUACUUUGAAGAAUUCAG